rnacentral:rRNA from 1 species
UACGUAGAUAGUUUUCAGUGUUCUGGCCAAAAGAGCGGAGUGUUCCUACGCGUAAGGCCUUUUAAAAACAAAGCUUGAGUUGAGGAGAGGUCGGGUCAAAUUCUUAAGUAGGGGUAAGAUCCAACGAUAUGAGAAUGAACGUCAGCUGGCGAAGGCGCCCCUCCCGCUUCAACUGACAUUAAGGUACGAAAGCUUAGGUAGCAAACGGAAUUAGAUACUCCGGUAGUCUAGGCUGUCAACGAUGAGUAUUCAUAGUUAGGCAGGUAAUACCUGGGGGAGCAGAGGCUAGCAAACCUCGCUCCCGUCCUUCUUGAUGGCGCUAACGCAUUAAAUACUCCACCUGGGUCUACGAUCGCAAGGUUGAA